UGAAACAGUUAAAAGCAGCAAAUCUUCACAUUUGGGAAGCUGAAACCAGAGGAUUUCAAUCAGUUAUUCAAACACUUAAAGGACUACUGUGUAUUACUCAGUGGAAUCUAGCAGGGAAGCAGCAUAUUGCAACCAAUUGAAUACUUCUCGCCUUCCAAGUGUGUAGGAGAAAUUUCAGAGGCCGCAAAACUUGUGAAUUUCCCAAAAGCCCCUACCUAGAGUCAAUGUUUGGUUUGUUCAUUCUGGGCAACCGUACAAACAUUGCAGUCCAACGUGGCAGCUUCCAUGGAAGAGGACCCGAACGUCUCAUUCUAAGAGGGACGAAUAGGGAUCGAAGAUGGAUGGCUUCAGGCUCUCCCCCCGAUGAACAUGAAAAUGCCUCGCUAGCAGAGCAGAUACAAGUCAGCAGGAUGUUGAUAUUAUUCCAACCCGGACAGGUCCAUACAGGGCACUGUUUUCAUCCACACACAAUAUUAAAUGCUGACAUGGAAACCAGCUGCUGAAACCCCAGAGUCAUCAGACUUUCUCUAAUGUGUCCCUGAAGAAUGAGAGCAAUUACUAACUUCCAGGGCUGCGUGAUGGAGGUAUUCGGAACAAAAGCUUCUUUGUUGGUAUAAAAUGGGAUUAAGUCUAAUCUUUCCUUGUUUAUCUAAAUAAACAUAUAAUAAAAUAGAAUAUGAACAGUG